rnacentral:rRNA from 1 species
AACGCGAAGAACCUUACCUGGGCUCGAAGCACAGUGGACCGGGGUGGAAACAUCCCUUUUCGCAAGAACUGCUGUGGAGGUGCUGCAUGGCUGUCGUCAGCUCGUGUCGUGAGAUGUUGGGUUAAGUCCCGCAACGAGCGCAACCCUUAUCGUUAGUUGCCAUCAGGUCAAGCUGGGCACUCUAGCGAAACCGCCCCGGAUAACGGGGAGGAAGGUGGGGAUGACGUCAAGUCCUCAUGGCCUUUAUGUCCAGGGCUACACACGUGCUACAAUGGUCGGUACAAACCGUCGCAAACCUGCGAAGGGGAGCUAAUCGGAAAAAGCCGGCCUCAGUUCGGAUUGGAGUCUGCAACUCGACUCCAUGAAGCUGGAAUCGCUAGUAAUCGCGGAUCAGCACGCCGCGGUGAAUACGUUCCCGGGCCUUGUA